GUUGAUAUUGUUAAAAAAAGAGGCUCAAGACUAAUCUUUUUAACCAGGCUUUCACUUGUUUGAUAAUUCUGAACCCUUCUUCUUAUGCUUUUUAUUAUUAUUGUUAUUUAUUACUCGAUUUUUGAACUUUUAGGGUUUUAUGGUUUUACAUAUUUUAACCUUUAUUUUAACUUAUUUUUACAUAAUUUAUUUUACUCUAUUUAUUUCAUUUCUUUAGUCCUAAAGAAUUGUGUGAAAUCCCAAUCUAAAAUGGGUUUGGAAGGCAUCUAUGUUAAUAGAUGCUAAUCUGGAUAUAUAUGAGUUACGCUUUAUAACUACUAUUGGUAGUAAUAUAGUAAUGCGACUACUACUAGUAGUAGUUGGUAAAUACACUAACUAGUGCUGCUGAUACUGUCUCUGCUACUAAAACUUGUAAAUACUAUUACAAAUGCUGACACUACUACUACUCGGCUAUUUAUACUACUACUACUGCUGCUUGAACUUUUGGUAUUACUAUUACUGCUGCGUGUAUUUUUAGUAUUACUACUACUGCUUGUACAACUAUACUACAGCUACUAUUAAUUGUCUGGUGUUUGGUUGUCCAGCUGUUAGCUUGCGUUAGUGUUUUUGCUAGUGGCUAACUGGUUAGCUCUCAGACUCUGAACAAGAUUUAACAAAUGAAAAAAGAACCAAAAAAGUUCUUACCUAGGAAAGUUAUUCCAAAUUUCCUUGUCUCCAACGUUCGACGUAGUGUGGCAAUUAAAUGCAGCGCAAUGAGCCGGCAUUGUUCCUUUUUUGUUUUCGCCCGCGUACAAACUGACUCACCUUGUGUCUCUGUAGGCACGCCACUUUGAGGGUGUGUCGUAUCUACUCUUCAUAUCUGUGGUGUCUUCCUUCUGGACUCGGUGCCUCGCCAUGUCCUGAUGAUGUCAUGUUGUGUGGGGUGGGUGUGUGUGUGGGUGUGUGCAUGUGAAUGGCUGUCUAUAUAGUAGGGAGGAUGGAGAGUUUUUUUUGUUAAUUUCUAUCUUUAAUUGUAUUUAUUUAUUGUCUUCUUGUCUUUAAUUCUUGUGAAACACUUUGUGUUGUUCUGCAUGAAAAGUGCUAUAACAAAUAAAUGGAGUUUGAAGUAUAGAAAUGAGCUGGCAACUAGUGGAACCUGAGGUCUAUCCCGACAGACCUUUCACUGUGGGCCAUGUCGUUGGAAAUGCCUCGGAGAGUAAAUCUGUAGUUUCGCUUUACCCAAUGUUCACUGUUAUGAGCCUUGUGGGAUAUUACUUGCAGAACACUAAUGUCUGAUGAAGACAUGAUUUACUUUUAUACUUCUUUCUUUAAAAUGUAUACAAUAGCUAAUGUGGGGGGAGGGGGGUCUUAAAUGAUAAACUGACUGUCAUUUAUGAGUUGUAGCAGUGAGAAUUGACUUGACCAUACCCCCAAAGGUAAUGUGUUUCAAGCCUUUUAGUGUAUGGGAGUAGCGGCGAUUUUGUAUUUCGCAGUAUUCCUGUAUUUAAAGCAGUGCCAGUACAUAGCUGAAUCCUGAGCUCAAUGUCAGCUGUUAGGAUAUAUUAUUAACCACCGCCUGACGUGUACGUCAGCGGGGUUAAUGCAUUCCCUUCGGUAUCUGGCUGGCUGGGUAAGUACACUGCUCAAAAAAAUUAAAGGAACACUUUUUAAUCUAAGUACCUGCAUCAAGUCAGUCAAACAUGUGGAAUACUGAUCUGGUCAAGUAAGUAACAGAAGAGGUUUUUUAGUCAGUUUCAGCUGCUUUGGUGUUCAUAAAAUUAACAACAGGUGCACUAGAGGGGUACAAUGAGACAACCCGGAAACAGGAAUGAGUUUACAGGUGAAGAUCACUAACAUUUUUUUCCCUUAUGUUUUCUGACUGUUUUUCACUAGUUUUGUAUUUGGCUAGGGUCACUGUCACUACUGAUAGCAUGGGGCGAUACCUGGACCCUACAGAGGUUGAAGAGGCAGUCCAACUCCUCCAGGAUGGCACACCAAUGCGUGCCAUUGCCAGAAGGUUUGCUGUGUCUCCCAGCACAUUCUCAAGCGCAUGGAGGAGAUUCCAGGAGACAGGCAGUUAGCCUGGGAGAGCUUGACAGGGCUGUAGAAGGUCCUUAACCCAUCAGCAGGACAGGUAUCUGCUCCUUUGUACAUGGAGAAACAGGAUGAGCACUGCCAGAGCCCUAAAAAUGACCUCCAGCAGACCACUGGUGUGGUGAAUGUCUCUGAUCAAACAAUCAGAAAGAGAUGUAAUGAGAGUGGUCUGAGGGCCCACCGUCCUCUAGUGCCCGCUGUGCUCGCUGACUGGCACCAUGGAGCUCGGCUGGCAUUUGCCAUAGAACACAGGAAUUUGCAAGUCCACCACUGGUGCCCUGUGCUUUUCACAGAUAAGAGCAGGUUUGCCCUGAGCGCAUGUGACAGGCAUGAAAGGGUCUGGAGAAGCCGUGGAGAAUGUUAUGCUGGCUGUAACAUUGUUCAGCACGACCGGUUUGGUGGUGGGUCAGUGAUGGUGUGGGGAGGCAUAUACAUGGAGGGACGCACAGACCUCUACAGACUGGACAAUAGCUUUCUGACUGCCUUUAAGGUAUCAGGAUGAAAUCCUUUGACCCAUUAUCAGACCCUACAUUGGUGCAGUGGUCCUGGAUUCCUUCUGGUGCACGACAAUGCCUGGCCUUAUGUGGUAAGAGAACUCAUGCAGUUCCUGGAGAAUGAAGAAACUGAUACCAUUAGCUGGCCCCCAUGCUCACCUGACCUGAAUCCAAUAGAACACAUUUGGAACAUUAUGUUUUGUUCCAUCCGACACCAUCAGGUUGCUCCUCAGACUGUCCAGGAGUUAAGCGAUGCCCUGGUCCAGUUCUGGGAGGAGAUACCCCAGGACACCAUCCGUCGUCUCAUUCAGAGCUUGUCCCGGCAUCGUCAGUCAUGCAUACAAGCACAUGGAGGCCAUACAAACUACUGAAUACCAUUGUGAGUUGCUGCCAAGCAAUUUCAGCAAGAUGGACUAGCCUGCCACAUCAGUUUUUCACUUUGAUUUUGGGGUGUCUUGAAUUUAGCCCUCCUGGGGGGUUGAUAAUUUUCAUUCCCAUCAAACAAUGUGGCACUUUUCAUUCCUAACACGUUAUCCAGUCCAUAUCAAUGCUAAUAUCCAGUUUGUUUUUUUCCCCCGUAUUGAAAUAUGAUAUAUUUUCAAAGUGUUCCUUUAUUUUUUUUGAGUAGUGUAUGUCCGUUCAGAUAUCUGGGUGUGGUUCUGCCAUCUACUGAGGGCUGGUCUAGUUUUACUGUCAGUUUAUUAAAACUUGAGUGUUUUCAGUUUUCCGUUCUUAUAGAAAAUUAACAAAAUACUGGCAUUAUUGUGCUUCCCAUGACUAGACCCCAUAACUAGAAUGUGACUGUACAUUACACUUGCUUAAAUUACUGUAAAGUAAAAUAUGGAAACAUGUACCAUAGCCCAAUAAAAACUGAUUUUAUUGUUGCUGUAGUUAAACUAUAAUUCCACAUUGACAUUUUCAUUUUUGAACAAAUUGUAAAUUUUUUUUUUUUUUAUUUGGGCAAUUUGAGAAGCUCAAAUUAAUGUUUUAUUAGUAGCUCUCUGAAUCUUGAUGUACUGUGUAUUACAUGUGUAGAUGGCUUUCUCAAACUGACUGGUGGGUAUGUCUGAGGAAACUGAGGAACAUUAUUGUAAUCAUGACUUGUGUCUAAAUGAUUGAAUACAAUCACUAAACAGAUUAAUCAAGCCAAGUAUUGCUGAAAAAGGCUCAGAGAAUUUGAAUUUGGUCUUGCUUUUUAGUAACACAAUCAGCAGGCUUGGGAAGGUGAGCUACUUACAGACAGAUCAAAGCAGAAACCUUUAUCAAGAAGCCAAAUGUGGUUACAAUAUCCAGUGGCUUAGGGAGGAUGAGAACUGGGGUCUGGCUACUGCACCUCAGCUUUGUUGUUGUUGUUAAAGAAAAAGAAUAAUGGAUGAAUAGGACACUGGGUUAUUCUUGAAUCAAUUUGUAAACCUAUUUGUUUCAGAUACCUGGAAAUAUUGAUGAAGCAUGUCAGCAACCUUUCACUGGCAAUGUCCUUUCAGAUGCAGCAGACUGAUGCAGAUCACUGACCAGCUACUAAGAGGGGUCCUGACUGUCUUCUGUCACUGACUUAUUUUGAGCCCAAAAUCAACCGUACUACUGCAAAUCAGACUGUUAACUGAUUUUGCCUUGUCUGUAAAAUAAAUAAAUGUUAAUCCUGGUCUGCUAAAGCUUUCCUAGUUUAGGCAUAUUCCAAUAUAGCAAUGGUCUUAAUGACACAUAGAACGUAUAGCACAGUUGUGCAGUUUCUCAAGAGAAUCGGAGCCCUUACAUUUUUCUGGAGAAGCCUGAAAUCGCUCUGAACGCUGACUGAAGUUGUUACAUUAUUUUCAGUAGUGAGAUCCAGGGAAACUAGCAUGUCUGAGUCCAGAUGUCAACAGGAUCAAUCAGCACUCACUGUCACUGAAAUCAGGACUUUGUAUAUAUAAAAUGAUAUGUUGUGGGCUUAAAUGAUGACCAUGAUGGACUUCAAGUCACUUUAUGAAGUAGGGCUUUCCAUGUAAAAUCAGCCACGUCUGUUCCUAUUGUGCCAGAUUUAAUUGACAAAUUUGGAACCACUUCUAUGUACUUUAAAGGCCUGUAACUCUAAAAAUAUUAAUAUCAAAACAUUUUGAAUGGCUUCAUUAGAUAUACUAAAGCUAUUGUUAAAAAAAAAUGCUUCAGGUGGGAGGUUCUGAUUUCUCUGGAAUGACCUAUAAGCCUCAAGUGCCUCUGACUCAUAGGAAGGUGCUGGUGUACUGUAAUGGCAAAAUCCCUCUGAGGAGCACUAUAUUUCCACUAGCAGUGACUGACCCUUGCUGACUGCAAGUUGAUCAAAUAUAAAUUAUUUCCAGUACUUGAACAGGAUAAAAGUAAGAGACACUGUUUUUCUUAACUUCAGACAGGUGAGCUGUCACACAGUCAAAGUUUAUCAGCUGCAGGUACAUUUAUGUAACAGCUCCAUCAUAGCUGUAAACAUUUUUAAUUCUCUUGUUGGAAAAGUAGUUGGGUUAUCAUCACAUGUGGCAGAGGAGAUUAUAUAUAAAAUAGGGUGUAAGCUACUUAGUGAUAUUGCUGUGUUUAAAUGAUAUUUUGUUUGUUAGUCCAUUGUUAUGAAUUGUAUUAUGUACAUUAUUUGAUUUACUGUCCAAUCUUGUGUGUUCUGUAAUGUUCCAUGCCUCCAUCACUGUGAUGUUUGAAUGUUGCUGUGAAGAACGUAACUGUCAAAGUGACCUACUUCUGCAUGACACAACUGUCAUGUUAACAGACUGAUAAAACAGUAGUGUUAUAUAUGAGGGCUUACUUAACUUUAUGGAGUCUCUAAAUGUCAUUUAUAAUUUCGGUGAAAAUUGGAAUUUUAACUCCAAAUGCUCAAUGUACCAACAAUAAAAUUGAUGAAUUAGCCUUA